rnacentral:rRNA from 1 species
GGCUCAGGACGAACGCUGGCGGCGUGCCUAAUACAUGCAAGUCGAGCGGAUUUAUCCUUCGGGAUAAGUUAGCGGCGGACGGGUGAGUAACACGUAGGUAACCUGCCUAUAAGACUGGGAUAACUAUCGGAAACGAUAGCUAAGACCGGAUAACUGGUUUUCUCGCAUGAGAGAACUAUGAAACACGGAGCAAUCUGUGGCUUAUAGAUGGGCCUGCGGCGCAUUAGCUAGUUGGUAGGGUAACGGCCUACCAAGGCGACGAUGCGUAGCCGACCUGAGAGGGUGAACGGCCACACUGGGACUGAGACACGGCCCAGACUCCUACGGGAGGCAGCAGUAGGGAAUCUUCCGCAAUGGACGCAAGUCUGACGGAGCAACGCCGCGUGAGUGAUGAAGGUUUUCGGAUCGUAAAGCUCUGUUACCCUAGACGAACAGCAAGAGGAGUAACUGCCUUUUGUGUGACGGUAUAGGAGAAGAAAGCCCCGGCUAACUACGUGCCAGCAGCCGCGGUAAUACGUAGGGGGCAAGCGUUGUCCGGAAUUAUUGGGCGUAAAGCGCGCGCAGGCGGUCAAUUAAGUUGGGUGUUUAAGCCCGGGGCUU